AGCUUUGUGCAGUGGGUAGUAUUCUAGCCAAUGAGGUAUAUCUGAGGCAUAAUUAUUGUUAAUUGAAAUACAAAUCUGGGUAACC
ensembl:snRNA U4 U4 spliceosomal RNA